AUACCGGCGGCUCGAGUGGUGGCCACGAUUACUGGGCUUAAAGCGUUCGUAGCUGGGUUGUUAAGUCUCUUGGGAAAUCUACCGGCUUAACCGAUAGGCGUCCAAGGGAUACUGGCAAUCUAGGGACCGGGAGAGGUGAGGGGUACUUCAGGGGUAGGAGUGAAAUCCUGUAAUCCUUGGGGGACCACCUGUGGCGUAGGCGCCUCACCAGAACGGCUCCGACAGUGAGGGACGAAAGCUGGGGGAGCAAACCGGAUUAGAUACCCGGGUAGUCCCAGCCGUAAACGAUGCGCGUUAGGUGUAUCGAUGACCACGAGUCAUCGAGGUGCCGAAGGGAAACCGUGAAACGCGCCGCCUGGGAAGUACGGUCGCAAGGCUGAA
rnacentral:rRNA from 1 species